rnacentral:rRNA from 1 species
UACAGAGGGGGCUAGCGUUGCUCGGAAUUACUGGGCGUAAAGCGCACGUAGGCGGCUUUCUAAGUCGGGGGUGAAAUCCUGGAGCUCAACUCCAGAACUGCCUUCGAAACUGACGAUCUUGAGUUCGGGAGAGGUGAGUGGAACUGCGAGUGUAGAGGUGAAAUUCGUAGAUAUUCGCAAGAACACCAGUGGCGAAGGCGGCUCACUGGCCCGAUACUGACGCUGAGGUGCGAAAGCGUGGGGAGCAAACAGGG